UAGAGGCAAGCAGAGCUAAGAAGCUCUAUAUGUACAUGUCUGGACACCUGACAUGCUCCAUCCAGGGCAGAGGCCCGUGGGUCCCUCUGGUCCUUGAUGUCAGUCAUGGAGCUUGUGCAGGUUCGGUGGGACACCAGCCUGGCGACGGGGCACGUCACAGGAAACUGCCUGCCUGUCCACAGGCCAACAGCAGGUGCCCUGGAAGUCAACCAGGAAGUGGAAAGGGAGAGAUCCAGCGUUCGUGGAGAUGAGAAAAAUCUAGCCACUGAAGCUAAAGGACACGUUGAAGGCCACUCAGUGAGUAAGAAAGAGAAGAAUUAUGCACGUGGCUUGCAGUCUCUUUCUGUGGGCCAGGGCUGUUCUAACCACUGCGUUUGUGCAAGAAUGGAGCAAGCUGUCUUUGCAGGUAAUAAGUCUCUCAUCACUGGAGAUGUUAAUAAAAGGUGUUGUUCAUGCACUUGUUCGAGUA